AAACCGGUUGAUCCUGCCGGACAUGACUGCUAUCGGGGUGGGACUAAGCCAUGCGAGUCGUACGUCCUGGGCAGUGACAGGACGUGGCGUACGGCUCCGUAAAACGUGGCUAAACUACCCCCAGGACGGGAAUAACCCCGGGAAACUGGGGAUAAUUCCCGAUAGGUGCAAGGUUCUGGAAUGACCUUGCACUUAAAAGGGCUAGGAUCAUGCCUCCUAGCUCCGCCUGGGGAUGUGGCCACGGCCUAUCAGGUAGUUGGUGAGGUAACGGCUCACCAAGCCGAUAACGGGUACGGGCCCUGAGAGGGGGAGCCCGGAGAUGGCCACUGAGACAAGGGGCCAGGCCCUACGGGGUGCAGCAGGCGCGAAACCUCCGCAAUGGGCGAAAGCCCGACGGGGUCACCCCGAGUCCCACCUGCUGAGGGUGGGUUUUCCCCGGUCUAAAAAGCCGGGGGAAUAAGCGGGGGGCAAGUCUGGUGUCAGCCGCCGCGGUAACACCAGCUCCGCGAGUGGUCAUGACGUUUAUUGGGCUUAAAGCAUCCGUAGCCGGCUUGAUGUGUCUCUGGUUAAAUCUCACGGCCUAACCGUGAGGCUGCCGGAUAUACAAUCAAGCAAGGGGUUGGGAGAAGCCGGGGGUCCUCCAGAGGUAGGGGCAAAAACCUAUAAUCCCUGGAGGACCACCAGUGGCGAAGGCGCCCGGCUAGAACACGCCCGACGG
rnacentral:rRNA from 1 species